ACAUCCUGUUUGCGUGACAUUUUCUGGUCUCUACUUUCAUUUUUGGUGAAACCUGUGCACGUGUUGGAUCAGUUCCAAGAAAAAGAUGACAGGAGACGCGAGUAGUAGGUCAUAGAAUGGCCACGGAUCUUUAACUCGGAAAAGAUCAAAACUGAUCUCUUGACAGAAGAUAAAAUGACGUUAUUGUAGAAAGGGGCAUAUACAAUACAAAGUAUAUUAUUUAAAUAAAACUGAAAAUUUG